CUGAUAGGUACAAAGGUACUGACCACGAAAAGUGCACAUCCUUCCUCCUCUAUAAAACCAGACAGCUAGGUUCAUAGAGAAUCAGAGAUUCUCAGAGCCUCUGUCUCAGAGGUAGGCACCAAGCUUUCAAGUUCCUUCCCCUGAAUCCAAGGAGUAAUUCAUUCCUGUACAGCGGUAGGAAGGAAUGCAGAUGGCUGUCUUCUCUUCUUCCCUGUUUCUGUUCAUCUUUGUCUGGAGCACAGAGCUGGGAGCUGAGGGUCAAGAAUUCCACUUUGGACACUGUUGGGUACAACGGGGAACUCUUCAAGACUUACGGAGGGCCUUCCAGUCUUUAAGGAGCACUGUGCCCUGGACCACAACACAGACAUCCGGCUGCUGCGGCAGGAGUUUCUCCGGAAUGCCUCGUUGGCUGAAAUCUGUCACCUCAACUACUCCCUGCUGAAUUUUUAUUUGAGCAACAUUUUCAAUAAGUACCACACAAAGGCAGAGGAACUUGGGAUCUUGACACCAUUCACUACUUUGGCCAACAACUUCUUUGCCAUCCUGAAGAAACUUCAGCGUUGUGUGAGUGGGGCCAGGGGCUAGGGAC
rnacentral:lncRNA from 1 species